AUGCCCAGCUGGGAGGAGUGGUCCUUUCUUAAUGAAGACGUUGUUGCUGAUGAUGAAAUGGGAGAGGAUGGAGCUGUUGAGAUUCAAAAGGAGGAUGCCCAAUCUGCAAGGUUGCAACUGCUGCCUCGUUUGGUGAAGUUGCAACUCAUAGGUUGCCCGAAGCUGAGGGCUCUGCCGCCACAGCUUGGAGAGGACACUGCCAGCUUGAAGGAGAUCCUUUUAAUUGGAAUGAACAACUUGAAGGUCGUGAAGGACUUCCCACUGCUCUCUGAGCUUCUUACCAUUGAGAAUUGUGAAGGCCUGCAGAAUGUCUCCAACCUCCCUCAAGUGACAGCGCUGCGUGUAGGUGCUUGUCCAAAUUUAAGCCAUGUAGAGGGAUUGGGCAGUUUGCAGCAGCUGGGGAUGGGCGAGGAUAUGCAAGAGAUCUCUACACGCUGGGUCCCUGGGCUUCAAGAGCAACACCAGCGACUUCAUGGCGAAGAACUGGAUGUCUACAUGUGGAGUUAG
rnacentral:rRNA from 1 species